UACGUAGGGCGCAAGCGUUAUCCGGAAUUAUUGGCGUAAAGAGCUCGUAGGCGGUUUGUCGCGUCUGCCGUGAAAGUCCGGGGCUCAACUCCGGAUCUGCGGUGGGUACGGGCAGACUAGAGUGAUGUAGGGGAGACUGGAAUUCCUGGUGUAGCGGUGAAAUGCGCAGAUAUCAGGAAGAACACCCGUGGCGAAGGCGGCUCUCUGGGACGGUACUGACGCUGAGACGCGAAAGCGUGGGAGCGAACAGG
rnacentral:rRNA from 1 species